CAGGAUUGGUGAGUUGUUUCUGAGGAAGAGGCUAAUCCUUCCUCAAUAUUGCACCUCCGCCUAUCAUGAGUAUUUCACAAAUACUAGCUGCCACCGAACAGAGUUGUAGAGCUGUCAGGUGGAAUAGGAACAGUCUAGCAGCUCUGUCACAUAAUGUUUUAGGAGCACUUCAAAUACUUUGAUUCCCAUACAUGUUAUCUGAACUCUAUAUUCAUAGACUAGCUAUCACUUUCUCAAGCCCCUUUUCUCAUCUGUACAUAAUUCUACACUGUUUCAUCAGAUACUGGAAAAAGACGCAAAGUCCUAUUAUAUACUUAAAUUAAGCAACAACUGUUCCUCACAUUUGAAUUGCACUCCUAGAUUGUGCAUCAAUUAUAAAUUAUGCUCUAUAAACACAACCCAAUUUAAGUCUCAGAAUUCUUCAGAAAUAGAUUUCUUAUAUUCUGUGUAAGGGACUGGGAAACUGAGGCAGAUAAUGUUAAAAAUUGGUUGGGGUUAUACAACUACUAAAGGUACAGUAGUAGGGAGAAAGCACUUAAUGAAACUCAACUGGAGCCUAGGGUCACUGAGAAGCCUUGGCUAUCUCAGUGGCCUCAGAGAGUGUCCUGUAUCUCACUAAGAGCACUCCAGGAAAGAAAAUGAUCUUCUGAGAGUACAAUUUCUCCCACUGCCUUAAACAAACAGAAAUGGGGGGUGUAGAGAAGGAAUGUGACGAAUCAGGGAUGGAGGGAGAGAGGAACUUGGAAAGUGUAUAUAUAGUGGAGAUCUCUUAUAUAUCUUCUCUCUAUGGCAAGAAAGUGCUCCCAUGGGUGCUAUUGUAUCCUAGUUCACCUGAGGGAUUUGUGAAGGAAGCAGGUAACAUACCCUGUUGCCAAAGAGGACAGCAGGGUCCUUCUACCAGUGCUGCAAGACUGACACCAUGUGGCUGCAUCAGCCUCCCAGGGCUUCCUAAGUCACCUGCCAAAGAAGCUCUAGGUAAGAGUUCACCAGCCUCUGAAAGUUCUCAGAAAGGAGUUAGCAACAGAACAACCAACAAAGAGCCAAGCACAGGACUGGAGACUAUGGAAGAGGGCCUCUUGCCAAUUACACACACCAGUUUGUUUGGGACAUGGAGGAUGGAAAAUGUGCAGUUUUGAUGUGUUUAUUAGUUUAUAAAUCCCUUUCUUUAGGAAGGCUAUUCUAACAGAUGAUUUUAAAAGAUGUCUAAAAUCCCAUUAGAGAGUCAAUUUUAUAUUCUAUUGCAAAAAGGGAAGCAAAGAGAAAUACUGGUAGAAAAAAGGUACAGGCUCAGAAAUAAAACAAUAUAAACAAGCAGAGCUAAGAGUGCAAUGCAAAGAUCUGAGUAGGAUAUGGAUUAAGCUUUGCAUCUUUUUGUAAGGGAAUUAAUGGACAGAGCACUCAUUGAUAAUAGUCUGUCCUACAAAAAUAAUCAAACUGAGACCCAAAGAACAAUGGAACUCACUCUAAUAUUAACAGAAGCAGGGAAAAAGAAUUCUGAGGCACUGACAGUGGGCAAGCAGUAAAGGUUGAGGCUCAUUGGUGUGUGUGUGUGUGUGUGUGUGUGUGUGUGUGUGUGUGUGUGUUGAGUGUUGUGUGUAGUGUGUGCAUUUGUGUGUAUGUGUGUGUGUGAUGAGUGUUAUGUGCAGUGUAUAUGUGUGCAUAUGUGUGUGUAUUUAUAUUAUUUUGUGCUUCCCCUUUAAGUGAUUGAUGCCAAUUAGUUUGCUUUGGCUAAAAUGCAAGAAUUCCAUUUUAAGAAGUCAAUGCUGGGCUUUUACUGAGGAACACAAUAAAUUAAUCAUUAAAUCUAUUGUAUUGACUGAACCUUGGACGACAUGAAAAAUUGCAGUGCAAGAAAUAUUUUGGUUGAAAGGACCUUAGCAUCCCAAGGGAAGAGUCUUCGAGACAGGACAUGUUUGCCUUCCUGAACAGGUAUUAUGAGUGGAUAUUUUGCUUGAUGAGAAAGCUGGAAGAAUAGUGUUGGGCAAUUUGACCUGUAAGUUCAAAGCUGUGAGUUUGUAUUUUCAUAAGGUUCUAUGGUUCACUGUUGACAGUGCUGUGUCUGCUUUACUUCAGGCUCUAAGAAUUAUCUGCUGUUAAUAUGACCCUCAAUUAUUUCAUCUAUUAAGUUAAAGCUGUCAGUAUGCUAAUGUCUAUACUACAGAGAUCCAACUCUUAUUGGAUAAGAAUACCUUGUAUGUCAUACUGUAUAUUCAAAGCCUUGUUCAAAAACUCUGUCUAGAGAACACUGGGUGAGCAGAAAACAAACAUGAGCA
rnacentral:lncRNA from 1 species